CUUGGUCAAUUGGUGGACGUCUCCUUCGUCUAGGCUCUCCUUGUAAUUGGUUAAGGAUGCCAUCAUGCCUCUCCAAUUUUUCAUUGACUCCCGCCAUCAUAUUAAACAUUCUUUCAAAUUGUUGUUGCAUAGCUUGAAUCACAUGAUCAUAUGUAGAAGAAGAACUUGUGUCUUUUGACAUGAUUGUAAAACCUAAAAUUUUAAUAAAAGAAAAUAGAAAGAAACAAUCUCACAACACUCCCUCACGUGUUUCACUCAAAAUUGAUGUAUACCACUCGUGUUUACACUCAAUUUUGGCUAUUUUUUUUAAUGAUCUCACACUCUUGCCUUUUACCUCUCAAAUUUGCCUUUUGAUUUUUUAGAUGAACUAAGUUUCUCAAUCAAACAAAAUUUCAAGAAUGUAGUAAUCAAUGAUAAAUAAAAAAAAUAAGGUAGCAAAUGAACAAUUUGUAGCAAAUAGGCUAAUAGAAAUGAAAAACAAAGAUAGAUCAUUAAAGAACACAAAGAGACAGAAUUAUAAAGAUAGAUCUCAAUGGAAUAUGAAGAUUCAAUAAUUUCUUUUUUUUUUAUGUAAUUUGAGAUCUAACACAAGAAUAUCAAAGAUAAAAUUAUUUUUUCUAUGGACGGAUUUCUUUUUUUUUUUUUU
rnacentral:lncRNA from 1 species